AUGGAGGAGGCAGAAUGUGCAUCUGGUUGGGGUUCUCUCGAUGCAAUCUGUGAGGAGUCGGAGAUGAUUGCACAUUUGCAGUCAGUGCUCUGGUGUGACAGUGAUUCUGAUGCAAAUCUCCGCUCCUCCAAAAAUGAUAGCACAAAUGCAUCUUUUGAUCUCCAAGUCGAUGACCUCAGUUCGGCAAAUGAGAGGGACAUUGGUAUCAAGAGAAAGAUGCAAGUGGAUGAGCAGAGCGACCAUCACAAUGAAGUCCCCGCGGUUCUCUCGGCCCCAAGGAAGAGUGGUAACAAAUCAAGAGCUGCAAUGGACUCACAAAGCAACUAUGCAAAGAGAAGAAGGCAUAAGAUCAACGAGAGGCUAAGAGUACUGCAGCACCUGAUCCCUAACGGCACAAAGGUUGACAUAAGCACAAUGUUGGAGGAAGCAGUCCAGUAUGUCAAGUUUCUGCAUAUGCAGAUCAAGGAUUCUAUUUUUAUUCUUGAUUGCUUAAACAAUGUCAAUAAUAAGAUUUAUUUUAAA
rnacentral:rRNA from 1 species